AUUUACCCUUUGUAGUUAUUUUGCCAGUGCUGCUGUCACUGACGUCAACACUUUUGACGUGAUGUCAUUAUUGCUUUUUAUUUUUUACUUUCACUUUAUGAAAAAAAAAUUAACUUUUUUUGUUAUACUCGUACAAAAGUUAGUGAGCGACACGAAAAUUGAUAUUUCAACUCAACAAUAUCCCAUUCCAAAAUUUUCAUUUGGUUUGACUUAUCGCCACUUGUAUCGGGUGUCAAUUUUUAUUGACAAAAAAAUAUCUUUUUAUGGAUUUAUGAAAAAUUGAUUAGAUCGCGCAGAAAUUCGCGUCUGUGAGUGAGGUUAAGAGCAGCCGGAGCGAAAACUAAUCCGCUUUCAUCCUACAAGAACAUAUGGCGUUGGUUUGAAUGGCGCUGGUUUGAAAUAAUAAUUUUAUACGGGUUAAACUCAGAUUUGCAUGGAAAAAAACCGGAAAAGUAGUACCGUUACUGGUUUUUCAAUGCUUUGGAAUCCCGAAUAUAUGUAUGUAUGUGACAUAUUGUAAUAAUAAUGUUAAUUAUCUCCGCUCUUUUCUCAAAUUAUGCGAGUUGAUGUUUUCCAACAAAUGGAGGGACCUGCAGUUUAUUCUAAGCCACCUCCGAACGACCGUUGGAUUUUUUUGAGAAGCUCUUAUUUCACACGGAGGGACCACCGUAAUAAGGAAAAUUGAUGCUUAUAGGAAAACCAACGUAAGUCCCGUGGUGGAUGCCUGGAAGCAUCAAUUUCACUGAUGCUUGAGCUCGUUGACUUGAGCAUUUUUCUCAUCAAGUCUUGAUGUUAUAAAAAAAACCAACCUACUUUCUCUACAUAAUCAAAACAAAUUUUCAUAACCUGAAAAAGCAGCGCCGUAAUUGCACAACAACGCUCUAGAUGUGCGCAUCCUUCUCAACAUCUGCUUUUCCAAUAUCCACUUUUAUCACUUUUUAAAGACUUACAAAACCAAAAGUAUUACACAACUUUCAACAACUUGAUUUACCACCCACAAACUGGGUAGCACCUGAUAAGUAGCACACACAGCCUGUGGUGAAACAUUUGGUUCGGUAGUACAAUUUCCCAACUUAAAUUGGACUAGUCUGAAAAUACGAAACUUUUAGUAUGACGAAACCGGACUUUUAGGUCAAAAAACAGUUUGGAACCACUUCAAAAAGGCUGGAUACAAAAAGGAGCUGGAUGUUUGGGUGCCAAAAUCGACCCCUUUCUAAAACGGAUGGUGGACUUCAAAUGAAAAGGGUCAUGGCCGGUCUCCAAGUCAGGAUUGGCACUAUGAGCUGCUUGCCUGCGGCCAAAUUUUUAAUUCGAGCCUGCACUGCCAGCAAUCGGGGCAUAUAAAAGUAGCAAUCUUCCAUAAGAGCGCAGCUUUGGCCACUGGAAUGGGAAUUGUGUUUAAUCAGGACAACGCCAGACCACUCACGUCGUUAGUGAGUCGCCAGAAGAUAAGAAAGCUUGGUUGAUGAUUUGCCUGGUGAAGAGUUGGCCUCAAGAAAAGUUGCUGAAAAUCGUUUGUCCCAGUUUUUUGCCAACAGAGAUUAGAGUUUCAUUUCAAAAUGGUAAAAAGUUAUCGCGCAAAACGAUGCAUAUUUGGCAUGUAUCGGAUAAUUCUAAUUACUGGAUGGCUUUCUACUAGAAUACUAUUAUCCAUCAAGAUUUGUAUUCAUUUUGAUGAAUGUAGUUUUUUUUUUUUGUUCUUUGGAAUUUCUCAACUCCUAGGACGGCGCAGUGUUGGAAUCAUCACUUUGCGUCAUGCGCUAUUAACUUUUUGUUGCAAAUUAGUAAGCGAAAGAGCUAUUUGUUUUAUACAAAUCGAAUAUUUUGUUGUUAAACAAAAAAAGUGUUUGAAGCGGCAGCUGAAAGCCUUUGGUGAGCUCCUUCGUAAUACCUGCAGACCAGUUGACUCUCCUGCUAGGUGCGGCAGGUGCGUAUAUGCGCAAGGUGAUAUUUCGAGAAGUAGAAUGGGUGAAUGACAGGGUUUGCAAGCCAAAUAGGACGUACGCAGCUGCAAAAACCACAAAAGUUGACAAUUUAUUACAGGGAAGCGAUGAAAGACAAAAAAAUGAAGCAAAAGUAAACGUAAAAGCUUGAACGAAGAGCAAAAUUAGCAUGGGAAAUAGUAAAAGUAAAGAGAAACGUGGACAAAGAGUAAUGUACCGCUGAUUAAUAUGAAAACUAUUAUGCUUGUGUGUGCGCAUGUGUGCGUUGCGCGCUUAAAGAGAACAGAAACAGAGAACGUGUACACAAAAUGCAGUUCGCCCAACUUAACUCAACUGCUAAAUUAAGUUGAUAAACGUUUCGGCAAAGCGGCAAAAAUGAAAGAGCAAAAGUGCAAUGGGAUUUAGGGACGCUCGCAGAGUGGCAAAUGGCACCACUGGUAAAGCAAGGGUUAAAUUGUCACAAGCUGUGCGAGUUAAAAGUGCAGAUAAAUCCAGAGCUAACGGUUAAAUUUAUACGAGUAUAUCAACUGAAUGCAACUCCAAAGAAACAGAUGCAAAAAUGCAAAAACAACGAAAUAUUUUCAAGUGCUGUAAUUAAUCGCCGACCAUCAUUGACUUUCGUUUUUUAUUAACCCACUAAAAUACUUAUCAUCAACGUCGACAAGAAAAAGCUGAAUAACCACAUACUGUAGCCGGUUCAAGGCUAAAUCAAUCACGGAUCAUACAACCACACACACGCACGUUCGAUGGCUGCUGCAAUGCUAGCCGUAAAAGGCAAGAACCCGCCGCAUCAGACAUUCCGUCACCAUAAUUGGCACACCGAUGAUGGACCAGCGGAAGAAGCACAAAAUGACGUGCAAGCACUUGCACACACAUACGUACAUAUAAUACAUAUACGGAAUGCAUAUACAUACAUACAAGUGUAUACAUAUGUACAUGUAGACAUUUAUAUUACAUAGUCGUUAUGUAUGUAUGUUCAAAAACCAUGAAUUUUGAUCUACUCCCAUAUAUGUAUGUAUUGUAAGAGCAUUAAAUUAUGCAAUUUCUAUAUUUAAAUGCAAUUUCGUUAUUCCAUAAUAAUAACAAUAUGCACACAUAGUCACAUUGGAACCGGCAAUGGAUGACAGAUGAGCUUGAACUCAGACAAAAAGUACCGCCUUUUAGCCUACACACCUUGCUUCAUAGAUCGCCCACCAAUACAUUUAAGAGAAAUUCAACUCCUCACCCAUUUCAAGUUCAGCCAGCUAAAAAAAAAAAGCGUAGACUGAGCCCUACGGCUUAACACAUUUUCUUCAGCUAUGCCUGAUUGCUUUCUAACUCUUGCGUUUGCGAAUACCAAUGAAAGGGAAUAAGUAAAGAGAGCGGAAUGGCUUGUUGGCAUGGACGUGUUGCUUAUUUUAAGAAAAGCUCAUGAAUGCUGCAUUGGUUAAAUACGAGUUUCUUCGGAAUCAAGCCAGAAGAUACAGUAACCAAUGCUAGUAGAAUAAAAGAAUUUCUUUAAAGAAUUUCCUAGAAAAGUUUCUUUAAGUUAUUUAUUAGAUAUCUGAAAGAAUUAUUGCGCAUAUAUAUAUAUAUAUAUACAUCAGAGAUUCUAAGCUAAGAAAACGAUGCAAUUUGUUUAUAAGAAAAAUUUACUUAACGAAAUGAUUUUGUUUCGUUCCGGCGCCAAGUUAUCGAAACGAAUGACAUUGUUAAUGCUGGAACCAGAGAACGUCAAACAACGAGAAGGACCGAUUGCGGUCAGCAUGUGAACUGCCAGAAUCGACGAAAGAAAUAAGAGACUAUUGCACCACUGCGGCUUCCCAAGCAAAAUCAUAAAAGAAGUUAAUAAAAUAAUUGUCUCCCAAACAUCAUUCUCCUGUAAAUAAUUUGUCAGUCUCUGGUAAUUCGUAGUUAACUGGCGGUGGAAC